rnacentral:rRNA from 1 species
GAUGAACGCUGGCGGCGUGCCUAAACAUGCAAGUCGAGCGAACAGACGAGGAGCUUGCUCCUUUGACGUUAGCGGCGGACGGGUGAGUAACACGUAGGUAACCUACCUAUAAGACUGGGAUAACUUCGGGAAACCGGAGCUAAUACCGGAUAAUAUUUCGAACCGCAUGGUUCGAUAGUGAAGGAUGGCUUUGCUAUCACUUAUAGAUGGACCUGCGCCGUAUUAGCUAGUUGGUAAGGUAACGGCUUACCAAGGCAACGAUACGUAGCCGACCUGAGAGGGUGAUCGGCCACACUGGAACUGAGACACGGUCCAGACUCCUACGGGAGGCAGCAGUAGGGAAUCUUCCGCAAUGGGCGAAAGCCUGACGGAGCAACGCCGCGUGAGUGAUGAAGGUCUUCGGAUCGUAAAACUCUGUUAUUAGGGAAGAACAAACGUGUAAGUAACUGUGCACGUCUUGACGGUACCUAAUCAGAAAGCCACGGCUAACUACGUGCCAGCAGCCGCCGUAA